UACGUGGUCACUGUUGGCCUAUGCAAGAGAGAAUGAGCUUGAGUCUCGUCCAUGGGUCAGAGUCUGGGUCUGCCUUAGUUGUCCAGUGGUCACUAAAGAAUGACACAAAAACCGAAGAAGGAACUUGCUCUCAAGUCUGGCUGUUCCUCAUGGCCAUACACAUGAGUGUUUCCGACAUUAGCCCAUAAGCAGCUGCCACUGAGCCCUGAUGGCUGAGAACACAAAGCCAGCCAGGGUCAGAGAACGGGUCCUUAUUGUUUCUAAGCUCUAGCGAUGUGCCAUGGCAGGACCAGAAAUAUGUUUGCUUCUAAUUUUCUAAUUCGGAAUUAAAUAAAGGACAGUAAAAUCACUGUAGAAAAAUCACUAAAGAAGCAGAAAUACAUGGGCCAACCAAAGAUAUGUUAAUUAUAAUGUCAGGAGUGAGGGAACUUUUUGCUAUCGUUUUAAAAUUUACUUUAGGGUUUAUUUUUAUUUGUGUGUAUGAAUGUUACCUGCAUGUACGUCUGUGCACUGUGCAUGCAUUACCCAUGGAGGCCAGAAGAGGGCAAUGUAAACCAUGGAACUGGAGUUACAGUUAGCUGCCGUGUAGGUUCUGGGAGUUGAACCAUGGUCCUCUGCAAGAACCACAAGUGCUCUUAACCAUGAAGCGAUCUCUCCAACACCUUUUUAUUUUUCAGGAUAGGGUCUUACUAUGUAGUCCUAGCUAACCUAGAUCAUGCUGGACUCAGAAAUAUACCUGCCUCUGCCUCUCCAAUUCUGGAAUCAGAAGUCUGUGCCUAAGCUGGACUUGUUUUUAAAAUGUUUUCACCGUUGCUGGCCAGCGCACCUCUGUACAGGCAACAGUGAGUAUAAAUAUGGUGACGUAAGGCUCGUGCUAGCCUACUGGCCAGGCAAUUUUGGCUGGGAGAGAACCACUCAUGCAUCUCAGGGCGUUAAGUUUGAGGUCUCAGGAUAAAGAUCAUCCUAAUUUUAUUUUAAAACACAUCAUAAAAAUGUCCCCUAACCAACUGGCGCACUCAGAGUUGAGGGUGCCGCUUGGUGCCAGAGUGGUUGGCUAACACCCUCCAGGACCUGAGUUCCGAUACCCGUUCUGCAAUACGGAACUAUCAAUAGAUACCACGCUGGGGUUGAAGGCGCCGAUUUACAAGUGAACAAACGCUGAUCGCGGUUUCUACCAAUAGUUUGUUCACGUGUCAGAAAUCACUUUGCUUCCCCACGAGGCAGAGGCGAGCCUCGUAGUAGUAGUACCUGUUUCCUUCGGUUACUGCAGACGCUGAAAAACCUUGUUUCCCACGCACUGUGGAGUCAUUAUGACUGAACCCACAGCCAGCAACACAGUGUGCCUGAGAUGAAGCUUUUUCUACGCAUGCCUCUUCUCCGUGAGACACGUUACAGCCACCUGUGCUAAGGGCACGAGACAACACUUCUGUCCUACGCUUGUGACAACUUAAAGUAGCAGAGCCAACAUGAAGCACAAAAACAUGAGCGUGGGAUAUGGAAGAGACCACACUAUGGAUCCUUGUCUUCUAGGAGGAUCUGAGACAAGAUGGUAGAUCAUGGCCCCAUUGGCCCAGCAGGGUGAGGCUACAGCAGUCAGGGAGGUUGCACUGUAUAGCCCUAGUGGGGUUUUCCAAUGAGACAGCAGUAGGACUGGGGAAUCCUCCUGGGAGUGGAGGGCUGCUGCUGUUGGCACAGCCUCGGCAAUUGUGGGAACAUGAGCCCUACCUUGGUACAGAGUUGGUGUUGAUAACGUAUCACGUGAUCGUUCCACUACUGGUGCAAAAUGACCAGGCUGUGCUUCUUCGGGUCUUCUGCUUCUCCCGGGCUUCUGCUUCUUGCCACCUUGAGCCUGUGAGUAGUUUAUUUUUCUCUGUUCCCCGGAUGCAGGGUAACUUACUUCAUCUUGUCUCCAAGCUGCCACUGCCUGCCCUACUUAGCUUCUGUGAGUCUUGCCGCCCCUCUCUGAAGCACCAGGCACUGGGAAACCUGCUCCUGAGGGUUCUCUGAGUGACUUUGUACUUGUUUAAAAAGGGGGGGUUGGGGAUUUAGCUCAGUGGUAAAGCGCUUGCCUAGGAAGCGCAAGGCCCUGGGUUCGGUCCCCAGCUCCGAAAAAAAAAAAAAAAAAAAAAAAAAGAAACCAAAAAAGGGAGUACACUCCGUGACUGCCAUUCGUACUUCUUCUCCCUUGUUCACAUGGGCCCUUUGUUUCGUCAUCUCUUUUCCUAAGGGUCAGUCCUUUGUCCUGACUGUUUAGGCUCCUAGUCAAGCAUCUGUGAACUGAUAGGACGAAGAGAACUGCACUACGGUCUCGGGAGACCCGAGCCGCGGGGGUGCUCUUAGAAAAGGGCUCACCCCCUUGUUCUUCGCCCCAAGGCCUCGUGGUCUUGAUGUGUGCAUCAUGAACCCUGAAGAUGUUAGUGAAGAACAGGCAGAAGUGUCCAUUCCUCUUGACUGCUAAAGGACAACUGAGUUCUACUUCUCUAGUCAUUUACCGGGAAAUUAAGGUGCUGAUUGGGAAGGGGUGUGGCUUAAGAGUGAGAGUAGGGGUGCUUGGGUGGAUUCUGGUUACUAUGAGAACCCUACAUUCCUAACUCUUGUGAACUGGAAUCUGGUACUGUUUCCCUUCUGAGGACAUUGGUUUCCACUCACUGUAUUCAAAACAAUGACAUGGAAUUUUCAUUACAGAAAUAUAGUACAUAUGUAUGUCUUAUUUUGUUUGUUAUUAGUAAUAAUAAUUGUUGGGAGCAGCCUUGAGAUGGCGAAAGCAGCCUUCAAGUUAAAAAGCAAUUGUGUUCUAGCCUUAUGCUAGAAUAAUAAGCAAUAGUCUUUAGGUUAAAAAGCAAUUAUAUUUUAGCCUUAUGAUAGAACAAAAAGCAAUAGCCUUAGGUUAGAUCAAAGCAGCACCCGCAGCUCUACAUAAAUUCAAUAGAUAGCAUAAAUCUAGGUGUCAGAUCACUGAGUACCGGUGGUCAGGCACUGAUGGUCAGGUCACUAAGCAACCCACCCUGCUGUUCCCCCGCUUGGCCGAUUUACCCAGCCAAUAUCCUGGUUAUCAAGCCAGGCCCCUUCUUUUGUGGUCACCCAACCCCUCCCCUUGCUUCUACCAGUAUAUCUUCAGCCUGAGAAAAAUUAAAAAUUGUCAGCUUGAUCAGA